rnacentral:lncRNA from 1 species
GUAGAUGUUUGGGACAUGAAGCUCCUUAAUAAUUUACUCGAAAAUCAAAUUUCUAUUAAAGGUGUGUUAUCCGAUGGAGGGGACUGAGGAGUUUGAGUUCCAUAAAGAGUUCCAUUUCGAAAAAAAAUGUUUCCAGCUCAAAGCGCUUAAGUGAGUGUUAUCCUCCUGUAAGCUCAUACAUGCUAUGAUGACUAAACAGUCAGUCUCCAAGAAUAUAUGUUAUGUGAUCAAUGGUUGGUGGACACCCUCUUAGAUUUUGGACACUACUAUCUCUAAACGUUAUAUGUUUCCAAGCAAACAAUUGAACAUUAUUCGACGAGAAUCAUAGUUGUUUGGCAAUUAGUUUUUGGAUUUCGUUGACAGGUUGUGUUCUUGAUAAUGACGUCAAACUGCAUACAACUAUGGUGGGAUGCUUAACAUGGGAGAAGGAUUGAAUGAGAUUAAUGUACAUAUGAUAAUGAAUUGAUGGAGUAAAAUUGUUGAUCACAACUUUCAUGUGAUGUGUGUAGAUGUGUAUUCACCUUGUAGACAAUAAAAAAGAGAUCAUUGUAUAUUGAAUGUAUGUAGAAAACAAUGAGGUUAAGGUUAG